UACGAAGGGGGCUAGCGUUGCUCGGAAUCACUGGGCGUAAAGCGCACGUAGGCGGCUUACUAAGUCAGGGGUGAAAUCCUGGAGCUCAACUCCAGAACUGCCUUUGAUACUGGUGAGCUUGAGUCCGGAAGAGGUGAGUGGAACUGUGAGUGUAGAGGUGAAAUUCGUAGAUAUUCGCAAGAACACCAGUGGCGAAGGCGGCUCACUGGUCCGGUACUGACGCUGAGGUGCGAAAGCGUGGGGAGCAAACAGG
rnacentral:rRNA from 1 species